AAAGAAGUCCUCCCGGGGUGACACGCCGCAGCUGGGACCGCGACCACCCGCACCGGGGGCAGGGGGAGGGACCGCCUCGCCCGCGCGCCGCGCGCCACCCGGGGGCUCCCCGCGCGGACGGCCUCGAGCUCGCCCGCCCCGCCCCGCCCCGCAGGGCCCCGCCCCCCACCCCGCGGCCCAGACGCGGCCCGGGCGGCCGGUCCCACGCGCGCCGCGACCCUUUGUGACGCCCGCCGCCCGCAGAGGCCCUGCGGCCCGCGGGCGGCCGGCAUCCCCGCGUCCAGGCGCGGCCCGGCCCGGCCCACCUUGAUGCGGUUCAGGACCCCGCUGUUCUCCAGCGUCUGCACCAGCAGGUCUCAAGAGAAACGUGGUCAACAGGAAAGAACCAUCAAUCACAGGCCCCAACAAGGAAAACUGCACUGCAUCGUCUAGAAAAAAUCAGCCUCUGCUGCACUUCAGCCAGUGAGAAAUCAUCACCACCCUGAACUCCUGCUUUUCUCCAGAGGACUUUGGUUCAAAACACCCCCUCCCAGUCCCCCCACUUCUCCACAAAAUAACUUUCCGUCCUUUGUUUGGAGGACUUACUAUGGUUUUGCAGAGGUUUGCAUGUCCUAAAUUGCAAUUCUCUGUUCUCCCAAAUAAACCCGUUUUUGCUGGUGAAA